rnacentral:rRNA from 1 species
UACGUAGGGUGCAAGCGUUAAUCGGAAUUACUGGGCGUAAAGCGUGCGCAGGCGGUUGUGCAAGACAGGGGUGAAAUCCCCGGGCUUAACCUGGGAACUGCGUUUGAAACUACAAGGCUAGAGUGUGGCAGAGGGGGGUGGAAUUCCACGUGUAGCAGUGAAAUGCGUAGAGAUGUGGAGGAACACCGAUGGCGAAGGCAGCCCCCUGGGUUAACACUGACGCUCAGGCACGAAAGCGUGGGGAGCAAACAGG